rnacentral:rRNA from 1 species
GUCGAGCGGAAAGGCCCUUUCGGGGGUACUCGAGCGGCGAACGGGUGAGUAACACGUGAGUAAUCUGCCCUGCGCUCUGGGAUAGCCACCGGAAACGGUGAUUAAUACCGGAUAGGACCACUUCACGCAUGUGAUGGUGGUGGAAAGUUUUUUCGGCGCAGGAUGUGCUCGCGGCCUAUCAGCUUGUUGGUGAGGUAACGGCUCACCAAGGCUUUGACGGGUAACCGGCCUGAGAGGGUGACCGGUCACACUGGGACUGAGACACGGCCCAGACUCCUACGGGAGGCAGCAGUGGGGAAUAUUGGACAAUGGGCGGAAGCCUGAUCCAGCAACGCCGCGUGAGGGAUGACGGCCUUCGGGUUGUAAACCUCUUUCAGUACCGACGAAGCGAAAGUGACGGUAGGUACAGAAGAAGGACCGGCCAACUACGUGCCAGCAGCCGCGGUAAUACGUAGGGUCCGAGCGUUGUCCGGAAUUAUUGGGCGUAAAGGGCUCGUAGGCGGUUUGUCGCGUCGGGAGUGAAAACACCGGGCUUAACUCGGUGCUUGCUUUCGAUACGGGCAGACUAGAGGUAUGCAGGGGAGAAUGGAAUUCCUGGUGUAGCGGUGAAAUGCGCAGAUAUCAGGAGGAACACCGGUGGCGAAGGCGGUUCUCUGGGCAUUACCUGACGCUGAGGAGCGAAAGUGUGGGGAGCGAACAGGAUUAGAUACCCUGGUAGUCCACACCGUAAACGUUGGGCGCUAGGUGUGGGGCCUAUUCCAUGGGUUCCGUGCCGUAGCU